UGGCUUGGAAAGCAUCACACAAUAAUAUACACGAAUAUAUGUGACAGGCUCUGGGAAAACCAGACUAUUGGAGCAGACUAAAAUAUGUGUGAUUAAUGUACCAAAUAAUAGAGCAGAGCAUUGCCUACACAAUGAUAUGCUUAGUGUUCACAUACCUAGUUUCAUACCCGAGUCAUGCACGUUGGAAACUCGAAGCCGUAAAAUGUAGUAUCGAGAAAAACGACUCUCAAAGAUUGCUUAAUUAGGAAAAAUAAGGUAAUAGCGAAACUUUGGACGAAGCGUUUCGAUGGAAAGAGUUGGAUUUAGAGCAUCAGAUUUUACAGAGAGGUAGUAGAAGGACUGUAGAUACUUAUACAUCAAUAACAUUUUAUUUGAGAUUUUAUACUGUUGGCAUAAAUUUAGCUGUAGCUCAAUACUAAAUUCUGCUCCAAUAGUCUGGUUUUCCCAGAGCCUGUCACAUAUGUUCUUAUAUUGAUAUUAUGUCUCAAUGUGAACUAUUUAUAGCAUGUGAAUUUUUUUUAUUACUUUGUGUGUGAUCAUGUAGUAGUAAUUAUGUACAUAUGUGUAAACAAUCGCUAAUUAUGGGGGUGUACUUGGUUGCUAGGCAACGACGAUGACAUCACAGGAACCUGUGGAAGUUAGUUUCAGAAUUUUACCAGGUAUGGUUCAUGAGAUAUAAAUUUUUAAAGAAAAAAAUGGAAAUAUUCUGUUUUAUUCUCAUUUAAUUAAAGCAGGGAAAGGGUUAAUAUAAUAAUUAUUAAGUACAUCAAGUAUAAUUCAUGUACAAGAUUGCACUGUAAACAAGAUUGCACUGUAAAGUAUAUAAUUAUGUCUAGCGUAUAAUAAUAAAUGAUACAAGUAUACAGUACGUAUACGUACAUAGUAUAUACUUAGUCUAGUAUUGUCAAGUUUGACAAUUAAGUUAGCAUCAGAUCCAGACAUCAUUGAAUUAUAGACGCAAUCCUAUUUAAUGCACAUGAUAAUUGACUUGUUGUCUGGCAACUAUAUUGAGCCACGCCCUGCCCUAAAGCCUGACCCCAAUUUUUGAGCAUGUGCGGUCUGAACAACACGUGUCUAGCUAGCUGACUGAGUGUACUAGCUGACUGAGUGUAACAAUGGUUAACAUUAACAGUAGGCCUAGGCAGAGGGCUAGGGGUAGAACAGCCGCUUCACAAAUUAUGAUGAUGUCAAGAAACCUGUCCACAACUACCACUGAAGACGGUGCACCAACUGACCAUGAAUAUGGACCCAAUAUUCCUCUCACCAAUAUUCCUCUCACCAUCUAUUUGAUGAUCAAGAUUUGAGUGAUCUGGAAUUCGAAGCUAAGGUUGCGGAGCAAGAUAGCCAACAACACCAAUAUUGACCUGAAAUGCAUCAAGAGAAAAAUCUACUUUUACUUCUCCAAAUACCUCUGGUUUUUCGUCAAUGUUAUCAACCCCUCAUUCUCAUGCCGUGAGUUGUAGGAGUGAUGUUGAAGACAGAGCCCACUCAACACCGAAUUCUCGAUUUGAUCUUCGUUCAAUUCUUCAAGAGCAGCAGGGAAUCCUUCAAAAAAUUCUCAGCAAUCAAGAAACUAUCCAAAAAACACAAAGCAGUUUUGAAGAGAGACUAAAGAAGCUUGAGUCAGUGGGUUCGACACCUGCGUCAAGCAGUGAUACCAGUGUGAAAAAGAAGCAAGCAGUCACACGUACUUUGUCUAUGGUUCACACUGCAUUGGAGGAGAAGAGAAGAUUCGACCUGAGGAAAGGUAGUUAAGUAUUCAUUCUUCUUUGUCUGAUUGUUUUAUUUACAGUUCCACGUCUCACCACAACAAGGAGGUGCGGAAGAAGAUUGUAACUGGGUUAUUGAGUCAAAGUGAUUGUAAUUCUUCUGAAAAAGUUAUCAUUGGUAAGAUGUAUCACGCAUUGUUGUCUGACUAAUACAAACACAGCUAGAUGCUACCAAAAUCUGCACCGGCAAUGGAGUGAAAAGCAGUCUGGAAAAGAGAACUAUGUUGGAAAGCAACACCAACAAAGAAAAUAUCGGUCACGAAGGCAAAGGACAUUUGAGCGAAGGGGCCAUGUAGUCACUGAGAAGGAGCAGAAAAAGUACUGGAGUCACCUAUCUCACUUGUACAUGACUGAGGAAUCUGACGAUCCCUCAGAUGAAAACAAAAUCGUCUUACACAAAUUAUCCUGGAGGUCGGAUGGUCUCAAUAAGUUUUUAAGCACUCUCAAUGACCGAGCCAAGAAAUUGUCACCUGAUACGUUGGCAGCCAUCUGCAUCCACUAGGACGCCCCCCGCUGGGCUGUAAAAGGGAAUGAUCCUGUGCAAGUCUGAUCAUGGUGUAGGUGCUUCUUCGUCAAGAACUGAACUGAACUUAUUACGCUCUUUGUGUAGGUGCUUCUUCGUCAAGAACUGAACUGAACUUAUGUCCUUGUUGCUUUUCAAUGUUAUAUAAUUAUUACACAUGAAGAUGAUUGGCAAUUAAUUUACAAUAAAUUGGUCGUUAGUUUCCAUGUAGUUUACACAAUA